CUAAAAUUACAUACGACAUUGUUAAACACGUUUCUAACUUCAAUAGCAUUUGAAGGGAAUGACUUAGAGUCACAAGACCAACUGGAAAGUGUUCAUCUAGGUGUCAGCUCAAUAGCAUUUGAAGGGAAUGACGUACAGUCACAAAACCAACAAGAAGAGCCCUGGGCGAAGAGAUCACAAACUCAAAGACCAGCAAAGCAUCAUUCAAAGUAUUUUGAUCCACCAGAAGUAGUGCCCCAACCAAAAGACACAAGACAAAGCAAACAUCUGAGGAUCAUUCAGAGGACACAUCAGCCCAGACAAUCCAAUGCUAUUUUCAAGUGGUGGUGAAUAACAGAGACCAGGGACACAAGAUUAUUUAUACUAGAUCACUACACAGCAAGUGUUAUACUUCAUGGAGAACGAGAUGAAGUACGGAGAAACAGUCUCUCAAAGGUGGACUUUGAUGACUAGAGGGAAUGAUAAGUUUCCUGAAUGUCAACGGGAAUCAUUGGAUAUUUUUGUAUCUCCAUGCAGCAUCCAGCCAGGUGUUUCAUGAUGAAGAAGCAAAAUCCAUGCAUGCAGCCACUAGAUUUCAGUAAUAUUUUUAGCUUGUUAUAUACUGUACUUACAAAGAUGGGUUACAAAUUAGAAAAAAAGCAUGACUGUGUGAAGAGGCCCACUUCUUUUUGAUGUGUUUUCUUGUCACAGGGUAUUGAAUGGUGAAUGAUAUGCUGUGUCCUUGUGUCCUUAUCUAUCACCGGAUCUUUACUAAAUUAAACAAAAAAUUUGAUUUUGGACCAAACUGUCAGUGCUCUCCAGUAUCAUCUUGAAAAUGUAAAAAUUUUGAAAUAUAUUUUGAAAAAGUUAUGUUCUAUCCCUCCUGUUGGUGUUCCAGAGACUUGGCAUAGCUCUUGCAGAUCUCUGGAUCUUUAACAAUUAUUUUCGUAAGAAUAAAAUGACAGGCUUCGAGUCUUUUACAUUGUGUAAGUAUGCUAGUCUUCUCAUAAGGUGUUUGUUUUUUUUAAAUGCUGUAAAAUCCUUACAAUAAUUUUACUUAUUAACUUUUACUAUAAGUAGCAAGCAAUUCACAAUAAUUGUUAAGUGUAAAGUGAGUGAGAUAUGUAAAGACAAUAAUUACCAUAUACUACAUAUAUAGGAAAUUAGUAGUAAUAGUAAUAAUGUUUUAAUGCUUAAUGUUAUCUUAUCAAUCAUUUUGAUUCGCUUAACACAUUUUUUUUUCCAAACACUUUGUGUUUUAAGUACUAAAGGAAAAUGGAUAAUGUUGCCUUUCUAAUAAUAUCGUUAUAUUUAUAUGGCCUGUAAAGAGAACGGAGAGCACAAUGCAGAACAUUCGUUUAAAUUGACUAACAAAGUGGGUCUCUUAA